rnacentral:rRNA from 1 species
UACGUAGGGUGCGAGCGUUAAUCGGAAUUACUGGGCGUAAAGUGUGCGCAGGCGGCCGAGCAAGUCGAGUGUGAAAGCCCCGAGCUUAACUUGGGAACUGCGCUCGAAACUACUUGGCUAGAGUGUGGCAGAGGGAGGUGGAAUUCCUGGUGUAGCGGUGGAAUGCGCAGAUAUCAGGAGGAACACCAAUAGCGAAGGCAGCUCGCUGGGACGAAACUGACGCUAAGGCGCGAAAGCGUGGGGAGCGAACAGG